GCUCCAGUAGCUCAAGUGGCAGAGCUCUGUCUCGUAUGCAGGAGGAGCCAGUUCGAUUCUGGCCUGGAGCC
rnacentral:tRNA from 1 species